UAAAAUCAACGAGGGGUAUUUAGGGAGAUGGUAACCUUAGAUUUGACUUACACAGUCCAAAAUGCAGUGCAGUUGUUUAUAACAUUUUGAAACAUAAAAAGGAAAGGUUAUGUACUCCAUCAGUCUUUCCAUGAUUCUUAUGCCUUUUAAAAGAUAGGAGUUAUAGGACUUUAUUGAGUUUUUAAAAAUCCCCAGUCUGAAUAUUUUCCUCUAUACUGAAAACCAACAUUCAAAAAACUAUAAAAUUUGUUGAGAGCAUAGAUGAAGUAGAUUAAAGUUUGUAAAAGUCGUUAAAAGGAUGCUAGUCACAGUGUUUUGUGAAUUGAGGAAGGGACAUGAGUGUGAUAGCUUCCACAGUAUCUUAAACUUAAAAAUCCAAUUCUACAGCUGUUUAUUCUCUAGGUUGAUAACUAUCUGAAUUCCAAAGUUGAAUGAUACAGCAUGAAUCCUUUUGCUUGAAGUCUUUGUGCCUGAAUAACUAGGAGGGCAAUGGUAUCAUGUACCAGGGAGUGACAUCACCUGGCAAAACAUAAGUCCCAUGUGACAAAUGGG
rnacentral:lncRNA from 1 species